AUAAAUUUUUUAUGGUUUGAAAAAUUUAUAAUAAGUUUAUUUUACAUAUAAAUUUUAGUGUUAAUUUUUAAUUAUUUUAAUAAUAGUUAAUUAUUUUUUAUAGUAAAUAAUUUUAAAAAUUUAAGAAAUUAAGAUUUAGUAGUAUAAAAAUUAUUAACUAAUUUUGUGCCAGCAGUUGCGGUUAUACAAAAGAUAAGAUAAAUUUUAUUAGUAAUUAAUUAAUAAAAUUUAUAUUUAAUUUAAAAUUUAAAUUAUUAGGUGAAAUUUUAAUUUAAUAAAAAUUUAUUAGGAAAAUUAUGUUGUAUUAACAAAUUUUAUAAAAAACUAGGAUUAGAUACCCUAUUAUUAAAAAUUUAAAUUGAAGAUACUAAAAUAGUAGAUAAUUAUUUAUUGAAACUUAAAUGAUUUGGCGGUAUUUUAGUUCAUUUAGAGGAAUCUGUUUAUUAAUUGAUAAUCCACGAAUAAAUUUACUUAAUUUAAAAGUUUAUAUAUCGUUGUUAAAAAAAUAUUUUUUAAUGAAAAUAAUAUUUAAAAAUUUUAAUUAAAAAUUAAAUCAGAUCAAGAUGUAGUUUAUAAUUAAGAAUAUAAUGGAUUACAAUAAAUUUAUUUAUAUGAAUUUUAAUUUGAAAUAGUUAGAUAAAAGUGGAUUUAAAUGUAAUUUUUUUUAAUUUAUAAAAAUGAUUUAUAAUUAAAAUAUGUACAUAUUGCCCGUCGCUUUCAUUUAAAAGUUGAAAUAAGCCGUAACAAAGUAGAGGUACUGGAAAGUGUUUCUAGAAAGAUC
rnacentral:ncRNA from 1 species